rnacentral:rRNA from 1 species
CCUACGGGAGGCAGCAGUGAGGAAUAUUGGUCAAUGGGCUAAGGCCUGAACCAGCCAAGUCGCGUGAGGGAAGACGGUCCUAUGGAUUGUAAACCUCUUUUGUCGGGGAGCAACGAGGCCACGUGUGGCCGAAGUGAGAGUACCCGAAGAAAAAGCAUCGGCUAACUCCGUGCCAGCAGCCGCGGUAGUACGGAGGAUGAGAGCGUUAUCCGGAUUUAUUGGGGUUAAAGGGUGCGCAGGCGGUCUGUUAAGUCAGCGGUAAAAGCCCGGGGCUCAACCCCGGCCCGCCGUUGAAACUGGCAGUCUCGAGUUGGAGAGAAGUAUGCGGAAUGCGCGGUGUAGCGGUGAAAUGCAUAGAUAUCGCGCAGAACUCCGAUUGCGAAGGCAGCAUGCCGGCUCCACACUGACGCUGAGGCACGAAAGCGUGGGUAUCGAACAGGAUUAGAUACCCUGGUAGUC